GGCUCAGUGGUCUAGUGGUAUGAUUCGUGCUUCGGGUAAUUCCCACACUUGAAAUAAGUGCUUGUGCGAGGUCUCGGGUUCAAUCCCCGACUGAGCCC